UAGAAGAUUAGCAUGGACCCUGUGCAAGGUAGACACACAAAUUUGUGAAGCAUUCCAUAUUUUU
rnacentral:snRNA from 1 species